rnacentral:lncRNA from 1 species
CUCCGGCUGAACUUAGUAAAAAACGAUAAUUGCUUUUGUAGUUCAAGUGCUAGAUACAUGUAUUAUCUCGCACUUUUGACAUCCAUCGGAUUAAGUUGUAAAAUAGUAAAUCUAUAAUCUCUUUGGAUACUUGAAAUAAGAAACAUUAUAUUUAAGAAUAAAACAAGAAAUAUUCUGCUAAAACUAAAAUGAGAAAUAUUCAAUUUAAAAC